GGCACAUUUAGAGAAUUCCAAGCUGCAUGUGGAAGCAUCUACGCUGAGGUCAUGCGAUUCGAAGAUGGCUAAAGGCCCCUCGCAGCAUUACUCUUAAAGCGAGAAGUAAUUCUGCCUACUCAAAGGAGGGUGUGAUGGUUCCUUUAAUUGACAGUGUGACAUCAUUAGUAUCACCCAGAAAGCAUCUCAACGAGGGACUACAUUGGCCUAUACUGGGUUGGCUGUGAGCUUGUCUGUAGAGCAGAGCUUUAGUUAUGUUAAUUUAUACAGGAAGACCCGCCCACUGUGGGCAGCAUCAUUCUCUGGAUGCUGGACUGAAAAAACUAGAGCAAGUGAGCUGAACGUAAGCACAUAAGCACAUUCCCAUGCUCGCCGGACUACGAGCACGAGUAGUUGCUUAAAGCUCCAGCCUCCUUGAUUUCCUCCUCAAUGAUGGACUGUAUCCCAGAACUAUAUGGCCUUGGGAUGCAGCCCAGCUUCGAACUUAUGCUCCACCCUCGACUUCCUCCCAGGUGCUGGGGUUGUAAGUACGCAGCACCACGCCCAGCCAUUUUUGCUUGUUAAAGCUAAGUAUCUUUCAAUAGGAGGGGAAAAAAAAAACCCAAUAAAAUAAAGUAGAUAAAGUUAAGAAUCCUGUCAAAGCAGGAGAGCAUGUUGUGAAACAGACUGCUGUAUACACAUUCGCCUCAUUUAAACUGUCUUUCCUUAAAUUAUAAGGGUUACAGAAGCAUCUCUUGCUGAAUGAAAUUUAUUGAAGAUAAGAGGUCCUAGGAACUCAUGAAGCUGCCCACACACUGCACACAUCCUUUGGGGACACAGAGAGAGGAAGCAUGAUGCGCUGGGUGCACUGGGGUGUGGUCUUAUGCAGAAGGAGACAGCAGAGGCCACCUUAAGAGGGUAACUUUCAGUAAGUCCCGAAGGAAAUAAGGCAUCCAGUCCUUCCCCCGGGGAGGAGUCGGUGCAGAGGCCCUGAGUGGGGGAGCAUAUACUAUCGGUGUGUUAGAGGAGCAAUGAGGGACCAUAGGGCUCCAGUGGAGCACAGAGCAAGGUGCGCAGUGAGGGGAAAAUUAGGAACCGUUGGUUCUCACCCUAGGUGGGAAGAGAAGCAUCUGAAUGGCUCUGGCCCCGAGGCCGCUGGGGCUCCUGUGCUCAGUGUCAACGCAGGAGAUCAAGUCUGUCUGAAGUUAGAAGAACGAGAACAGAGAAAACUGGCUCCAGGCAGGGUGGUACACUGAAGCUGGGGAAAGGCAGUUAAGUCCAGAAUCUAUUUGAAGGUGCAUCCACACCCCACACCUAGAUCAGAUGUAGUUGUAAGAGCAAGAGAGGUGUGUGGAAGGACUGGGGUGUCAGUCUGAACAAAUGGAAGAGAGCUUCACUAUGGAAGUCAUUCAUUCAUUCAUUCAUUCAUUCAAUUUAUCAAUUGAAUCACAUUAUCUAGUGUGUGCAUGUGGGACAAGAGGAUAAUUUGUGGAAGUUAGUUCUCUCCUUAGACCAUAUGGGUCUUGGUGAUGGAAUUCAGGCUGCCUGGUUUGGCAGCAGGUGCCUUUACCCACUGGGCCAUCUCCACUAUCCCGUGGCUGUUAUUCCUAAUGAAUGGAUCAACUACUGCAUGAAAAUAUAAGGCACAGCCAUUACUCACCAGGUACUAGCGCUCGCCCCCUUCCACAUGCUGUAGGAAUAGUCAGCGUUUCUGUAGGACAUGACGCUCACCACCCCUGAGAGGAACCAGAACAGAAGAACACAGCCCUUCACUUCCUGGGCAAGCUGGAUGGGCCUGGUGAGCCCUCUGUGGUGUGGCCAACACUGGGCUUCUCACAGGAACUGUGUGAACUACUUGAGCUGGGAAUCAAAUAGAACAUUCUGCUCCCAUUCAGAGAGGAUGGGAGAGCCCCGCAGAGUCUGGAGAUAGGUGUCUUGGUUUGCAUGCAAGUAUUUUGGUAAGUUAAGCCAAAAUGCCUCAAAAAGAGAACAUGCCGUGGUUUUUCUUUCUUGUUAAAAUUCUUUAUAAGUAAUCAUAUAUGUAUAAUUCUUAACAAUUUAAAUAUUAUGUUCAAUAAGAUAUUUGCUUAGAAUUCUGAAAAAUGAUGUAUAAAAUAAUUAUUGGGUUUUUUUUUUUACCUUGUUUUAUUUUUUUCUCCAGGCUCUGUCUUUUACUCAGUGUAUCAGGAUAGAAAAUAUUCCAAUGGUUUCCUGCUUCCAGGUAGUGGAAAACAUAGAACACCGGAGCUAUGCUCAUGAGCUCUGCCUCUGCACUGCCCUUGGGGAGGUGGGUUAGGAUGUUGAUGCCUUCCUUACUCAGAACCGUGGACAAGAACUCCCCUACAAGCAGUCCUGAAAGAAAAAGAGACCCAAGUGGACGUAACCACCCGCUAUCUGCUCCCAACAGUGUAUUCUGAAGAGGAAAUGACCAACGUCUUUCCCCCCUUUUAAUAUAAGCAGUUUACCUGUGUCCCAGAAAUCAGGGGAGCAAGCUGGAUUUGAUUAGCAGCAUAAAGUCUUGGUGGCAGAUAAGGUAAUGUGGUAGACAAAUGGCUGCAUAGUUAGGUGCUGACGUCAUAACCCACACUGACCAAUCCUCAGGUGAAGUAGGGCAAAGGAGCCUGAAUGGAAAAGGCGCUGGCCCCCCAGUCUAUAGUGACACUGUGCAACCCUGGGCAAGCCAACUUCUUAUAAGUCUAAUGUCAAGAUCGCACGUGAUCAAAAAGGCCCUUUCCAGGUCUGAAACUCUGUGGUUCCAAGAUAAAAUGCAGGCAGGUCAUUCUGUCCUGUUAGUGAUGUGUUACCUUACUGCAAAGAAUGAUGCCCCUCUGGCAAACACCCCGGAGGGCAGAGAAUCCCUGCUCUGGUUUGAAUACCUCUGACCCUCCAUCUGCUGCAGCCUAACCCACACCGGUGGUAGUGUAAGAGGGCAAGCUUUUUGGGAGGGUGUGGAGAGCCAUUUACCCUUUGACAUUUUACUCUUCUAUACUUUAGCCAUGUGAGGGUGACCCACUAAGACAGCAGCUGUAAAAACAGGAACAACCUUUGCCAGCCUCUCUAUUACCUUGGUCUUGGACUUGAAAAACUCCAGAAUAGGAGCCUGUUCUUUAUAAACUGCCUAGACUCUGGUGUUUCAUUGUAGCUACACAAAUGGGCUAAGCAAGCCUGACCACUCCAGGACUUAAGCUUGGACGGAAAGCUGGUACCGCAAGGCCAUUUGCAGGUCGCAAAGUCUUUAGUGGACUGACUGCUGAGACCACUGGAAGUGAAGUGUGAAACAGCUGUACCCCAUUCUAGAGAUGUCCUGGGCUCACAACAGACAGGGCUACUCAGAUUAGCUUCACCUCACUAUGUAGCUGUGGCUGACCUUCCGUUUCUGAUCUUCCUGCUUCUGUCUCCCACGGCUGGGAUUAGGGCAGGCACCACUGUAUCGAGGGCUUCAUGCAUGCUAGGCAGCCACUCUACCAGCUGGCCCAGAAGUUGGAUUUAUUAACUUACCUUUGAC